ACUUUGCUGACCCCCUUGUCUUACCAGAGGUCUGGAGAACUUCUACAUUAAGUGACACUUUCCCUUUAUAAUCAGUAUCAUUCUGGGUCAGCUAGAAUGAGUGUGUUCCAUUGUUCAAGUAGCUCUUACAAAAUUAUUUGAAUCUUGAGAUAAGUCAAAAUAAUUAAUAUUCAGUCUAAGGCAGAGAAAGAGAUCUUUCAAGCAUUUCUGCAUAUGUCUUUUGAUCUCCU
rnacentral:lncRNA from 1 species